rnacentral:misc_RNA from 1 species
GGAAAAUUCACUGACAUGACUGCUGAACUUGAAUGGCAUUUCCUCUGAAAAUAUUGUGUUCUAAAGUUAGUUAUGAUCGUUGAAGGUUUUGAUAAUGUUGACGAACUUGCAUGUUUCACAUAAUGAACGCAUUUGGAAUACUGUGUCAACCUGUCUUAUGCUGCAAAUUAUUAACAUAAUUAUGCCUAAUUUGAGCACUUAUGAAGAACAUUUUAGUUUUCUUCUUUCUGAAAUGCUGUUGAAAAAAG